rnacentral:rRNA from 2 species
GGGUGGUAAUGCCGGAUGCUCCGCUCCAUCGCAUGGUGGGGUGGGAAAUGCUUUUGCGGCAUGGGAUGGGGUCGCGUCCUAUCAGCUUGUUGGCGGGGUGAUGGCCCACCAAGGCGUUGACGGGUAGCCGGCCUGAGAGGGUGACCGGCCACAUUGGGACUGAGAUACGGCCCAGACUCCUACGGGAGGCAGCAGUGGGGAAUAUUGCACAAUGGGCGCAAGCCUGAUGCAGCGACGCCGCGUGCGGGAUGGAGGCCUUCGGGUUGUAAACCGCUUUUGUUCAAGGGCAAGGCACGGUUUCGGCCGUGUUGAGUGGAUUGUUCGAAUAAGCACCGGCUAACUACGUGCCAGCAGCCGCGGUAAU